rnacentral:rRNA from 1 species
AGUGAACGCUGGCGGUAGGCCUAACACAUGCAAGUCGAACGGCAGCACAGGAGAGCUUGCUCUCUGGGUGGCGAGUGGCGGACGGGUGAGGAAUACAUCGGAAUCUACUCUGUCGUGGGGGAUAACGUAGGGAAACUUACGCUAAUACCGCAUACGACCUACGGGUGAAAGCAGGGGACCUUCGGGCCUUGCGCGAUUGAAUGAGCCGAUGUCGGAUUAGCUAGUUGGCGGGGUAAAGGCCCACCAAGGCGACGAUCCGUAGCUGGUCUGCGAGGAUGAUCAGCCACACUGGAACUGAGACAAGGUCCAGACUCCUACGGGAGGCAGCAGUGGGGAAUAUUGGACAAUGGGCGCAAGCCUGAUCCAGCCAUACCGCGUGGGUGAAGAAGGCCUUCGUGUUGUAAAGCCCUUUUGUUGGGAAAGAAAUCCAGCUGGCUAAUACCCGGUUGGGAUGACGGUACCCAAAGAAUAAGCACUGGCUAACUUCGUGCCAGCCGCCGCAGUAA